AUCGCUCAUUCUGAGGAGGAGGUACUCAAUCUGAGUCCUCACCGCCGAACUCUUGAAGGUGACCAAAUGCUCCUCCCUCUUCUGAAAUGUCGAGUUCGCAAUCAGGAGCUCGGAAGCCCUCGCGAAAUCAAGCAGUGACGUGCCUCCUCCAUUCCUAACCCCAAAGCCGAAGCCACCAUGCACCUCACUAUAACCACCGGCAUCAGCCCCAAUAUGACCAUUAAAGUCUCCUCCAAUAACUAGCUUCUCAGAUUGGGGAAUACUACUCACCAGAUCAUCCAAGCCCUCCCNNN
rnacentral:lncRNA from 1 species